rnacentral:rRNA from 1 species
CCUACGGGAGGCAGCAGUGGGGAAUAUUGCACAAUGGGGGAAACCCUGAUGCAGCGACGCCGCGUGAGUGAAGAAGUAUUUCGGUAUGUAAAGCUCUAUCAGCAGGGAAGAAGAAAGACGGUACCUGACUAAGAAGCCCCGGCUAACUACGUGCCAGCAGCCGCGGUAAUACGUAGGGGGCAAGCGUUAUCCGGAUUUACUGGGUGUAAAGGGAGCGUAGACGGCUGUGCAAGUCUGAAGUGAAAUCCCAGGGCUCAACCCUGGGACUGCUUUGGAAACUGUGGAGCUAGAGUGCUGGAGAGGUAAGUGGAAUUCCUAGUGUAGCGGUGAAAUGCGUAGAUAUUAGGAGGAACACCAGUGGCGAAGGCGGCCUGCUGGGCUUUUACUGACGCUGAGGCUCGAAAGUGUGGGGAGCAAACAGGAUUAGAUACCCGGGUAGUC